CUGUGUGUGUGUUUGUGUAGUGGAUGAUGUGUGUGUUUGUGUGUUGGAUGCUGCGUGUGUGUAUUUUUUAGCUGUUGAAUUUUUAUAAUUUUUU